AACGAACGCUGGCGGCAUGCCUAACACAUGCAAGUCGAACGAGACCUUCGGGUCUAGUGGCGCACGGGUGCGUAACGCGUGGGAACCUGCCCUUAGGUUCGGAAUAACUCCCCGAAAGGGGUGCUAAUACCGGAUAAUGUCUUCGGACCAAAGAUUUAUCGCCUUUGGAUGGGCCCGCGUUGGAUUAGCUAGUUGUUAGGGUAAAAGCCUACCAAGGCGACGAUCCAUAGCUGGUCUGAGAGGAUGAUCAGCCACACUGGGACUGAGACACGGCCCAGACUCCUACGGGAGGCAGCAGUGGGGAAUAUUGGACAAUGGGCGAAAGCCUGAUCCAGCAAUGCCGCGUGAGUGAUGAAGGCCUUAGGGUUGUAAAGCUCUUUUACCCGGGAUGAUAAUGACAGUACCGAGAGAAUAAGCUCCGGCUAACUCCGUG
rnacentral:rRNA from 1 species